ensembl:lncRNA
AUGGUAAGCAUGAGUACCAGCGCCGUCAGGAGCUCAGUGGUUGAAUCAGACGCGGCUCUUUGUGUUGGGUUGAAUCUGGCAGUCGGUGACACUCCAAGGAAUCGCCACACCUUCCCUAGAGGACAGGGCUCGGUCGCCUCUCUCCAGGGAAGGAACAGGGCUUGCCUAGGCUCGCACAGCAAUGAAAUGGCACAAAGUCUGGUCCACAUUGCAGCUUAUCCACGCCACAGAAAGAGGAAGUCUUCUCACUGAUACGGUGACCGACCGUAGUCUAUUUUGUGGAAAAUAUAUUGCAGUCAUAAGUGGGCAUGGAAAUAUAGUAGUCAACAUUUGAAGUGGAUGUUCAACAUUUGAACCUUUCAUCAAAGUUGUCCUAAAAUCAAAACAAUACCGAUCUUUGAUUAACUUUUUUGAUCCACUUCAAAUGUUGACUACUGUACUUUAAUUAAUGGCAUGGCAUUCCCCACACAUUGUACAGAUCACAUGGAAGAUCUGUAGAUUUUGUAAUCAAUUUUGGUCCAUUGAGAACCAACAGGUACUGAUGAUUUCACAAACAUAACUUAGGCCCUCACAGGUUGCUAUACUAAAGCUUAUGAAAUGAAGUCGCAUAGAGCAGUGAAAGAACUAUUAAAUUAGUCAGCAAAAACCCAAUUAAUUCAUUAAAGGUAAAGAGUACCAUCUCUGUGCCACUGGCAUCAUUAAAUAGAUUUAAAUAGAAAUUGAUAGAAAUUAACUAUAAAUUACAACCCUUAGUUCUCCCAAACACUCCCCCUGUUGGACAAACUGAUACUUGCUUUUACCAAUUACUAUAAUAAUUUAAUUUAACAGACUACAAUUUUAAUUUAAACUUAAUACAGUUACCCAUAUACCUGGGCACAGCGGUGAUGUACCCAAAACUAUGUAGGCUAUAUACAAUUAUAAAAAUAUAAAAAUACUGAUUUACUGUGCUAUUUAUGAUCAUAGGUCAUUAUUUUAGGGACAAUUUUUCCUCAGUAGGGUACUGCAUGUGGAACCAUAUUCCAGUGUUUACAGAACAACAUUCUUCAUCUUAAAAGUAUUGCAAAGUUACGAGGACUUGGAUUACUAUAAUGCAUUACUGGCUAGAUGUCCUGCGGUCUCCAUAAAUAAUUUGUUGGUUCAAAAAGCAGCUUUUAAAGUCCUUAACAGAUCAUUUGAUCAUAUUAUCCACAUUUUAUCAUUGCUAUCAUCUAUCUGAUGUAUUCUGAUGAAGGAUAAUAAUAAAUAUGACAAAAUACUGCUACUUAUGAAGCA